GACGAACGCUGGCGGCGUGCUUAACACAUGCAAGUCGAACGGAAAGGCCCUGCUUUUGUGGGGUUCUCGAGUGGCGAACGGGUGAGUAACACAUGAGUAACCUGCCCUUGACUUUGUGAUAACUUCAGGAAACUGGGGCUAAUACCGGAGAGGAGCUCCUGCUGCAUGGUGGGGGUUGGAAAGUUUCGGCGGUUGGGGAUGGACUCGCGGCUUAUCAGCUUGUUGGUGGGGUAGUGGCUUACCAAGGGUUUGACGGGUAGCCGGCCUGAGAGGUUGACCGGACACAUUGGGACUGAGAUACGGACCAGACUCCUAUGGGAGGCAGCAGUGGGGAAUAUUGCACAAUGGGCGGAAGCCUGAUGCAGCAACGCCGCGUGCGGGAUGACGGCUUUCGGGUUGUAAACCGCUUUCGCCUGUGACGAAGCGUGAGUGACGGUAAUGGGUAAAGAAGCACCGGCUAACUACGUG
rnacentral:rRNA from 1 species